rnacentral:lncRNA from 1 species
GCUCACGGAUUAGUCUCCGCUGGACUGUGUGGACUCCCUAGACCUUCUCCUCAGCGCGGAGGACUUGGGUGGAAGAACAGCGAGCUGACCUCCCAUGAGCGAGACCCUGUCCAAACGCCUGUUGGCAUAGACGCCCCUCCACCACCCGGACGCGCCUUGGCUAAGAGGGUCUCACACCUGGCGUCCAGACUCCAGACCCCUGGUCCCCAGUUCCUGCCAGUAGUCUCCGGCAUCCCCCGUCCCCGUUGGGACGCAAAGGGAGGAAGGCGGCGGUAGCUGGCCUUCAGACCCUGCGUCCGGGUCCGCCCGAGGCUGGAGCCCAAGGAAGGGCACACCUGGCAGAAGGCAGGACCGUUGGGCAGGGCGCCAGCAGAGGGCAGCGCUGCUGAGGAGGGAGGUGGGUUAGGGUCGCCGAACCCUCCACUCAUUUUUCGACGCAGCUUGUGGGUCGCAUCGGCUCCCUGGCCAGAGCUCGAGUCUGAGGGGGCGUAUGGAGUCCGAUGGCUCCUGCAGGGGAGCCUCACCGGGGCCUACUUCUUGGCUUCUGGGAAGACCUAGGUGGAGAGGACAAAGUGCUAGGAGCGAGGGAGACGACGUCGGGGAGCGCUGCCAGGAGCCAAGCGCUGCGGCAGCUCCCAAGCCCCGAAAGCGACCUCAGUUCCUCCAGGACACCAAAGGGGGAUAAGGACUGCUGUGUGUCCUGUGGACUGCCCCUUUCCUCUCUGGGCCUCGGUGUCCCUGUCUGUGCAAUGGUUUGAGUUGGA